rnacentral:rRNA from 1 species
AACGUAGGACGCAAGCGUUAUCCGGAGUUACUGGGCGUAAAGGGCGCGUAGGCGGCCCGGUAAGUAGGGGGUGAAAUCCUGCGGCUUAACCGCAGGGCUGCCUUCUAAACUGUCGGGCUCGAGCACGGUAGAGGCAGAUGGAAUUCCCGGUGUAGCGGUGGAAUGCGUAGAGAUCGGGAAGAACAUCAGUGGCGAAGGCGGUCUGCUGGGCCGUUGCUGACGCUGAGGCGCGACAGCGUGGGGAGCGAACAGG